AGGGAAGAUUCAGCUGUAGCAAAAAACCAAAAGUCAACAUACAUGGAUCAAAGAAAGGGAGGAGUCUGACUCUGCAGGCUGAUCACAGCAGUUCCUAAGCUGUCCUGAGGAUCACCCCAUGCUCCCUAGAUAAUUUCUGUUCUUUAUCUAAUUGGUACUUUAGCAGUAAGCUCAGAAGUGAUAAAAGCAGGAACAGCAAUCCACUAGUUCUGCUUUUGGGGGCUUCUUUAAAAGAGUUCAGAUUGUUGAACAACUGGGUUUGAAGUUUGGAGGAGGAAGAUUUGGAUACAAUGGAAUUAUCUGAGAAGUGAACACCAGCAAGGAGAACAACCACAGAGUUUCAUCACUCUUCAGGACCAGACCCAGCAUAUUUCACUCACCUUGUUCUGAUGAAACUUCACUACUUCUGAUGAAGGAGGAAGUGGAGAUGCCAACAUUUGAUGCUGAUUCAGAGGCACCCACCACAUGCUAUAAAAGCUGCUGCCUGAAAGGGAUUAUGUGUUCCUUGAACUAUUAUAUGCUUAAGGAGAUAUGAAUAAACUUCCAAAUUCCAAAAUGAUUGAAAAAAUAGAAAUACACCCACAGAAAAGAAAAAAAAAAGGAGAACCAAAAAGGAACUAGAAGAAAUGGAAUCAAUUCAUGACAAAUUUUGCCAACACAUUUCAUAUGAAUAAGAUGUCAGAUGUCCUGGAGUUAUUUCUACAACUAGUCUACAAACAAGAACUGUCAGUACAAGAAAAAAU